rnacentral:lncRNA from 13 species
UCGCAGACUCAUCCAAGCAAGCACGGCAGGCAGCAAGCCCGUCAGGGGACGGCUGCUCGGCGGCAGUCGGUGCCUAAGCCGAGCCCCGCUCCGGGCCCGCGGGGGCGAGGGGCCCCGGCCAGCCCCGCUCCCCCGGGGCCGCUCCGAGGCGAUGCCGGUGGCGGUGGCUCCCGGCGCUGCGCCGCCUCCGUCUGGAGUCAGACGCUCGGGGUCCGCGGCAGCUGCAGCCGCGGCGGAGGGGCAGGGGCAGGGGGGGCCAUGCUCCGCGAGCGCGGGCGCUGCGGUGCCGGAGGGGGAGGGCCUUUCCCUGGUUGGACGUGGCCAAAAGCACAAGGAAAAAAAAAAAAGGGGAAAAAAAAAAAGGGGGGGGGGGUGGAAGAAAAAUCACGGCACCGGCGCUGCCCACAGGUGCGCGGAGCUGCGGGGCGCCGGUGCUGGUUGCAGCCCCCGCGGGGAACGCGGGGCUGUGCCCGCGCCCCUCCCGGCGGUGCGGGGCGGGGGGCGCGGCCGGUGCUGAAGGGACAGCGCCGCGCUCCCGCCGCCUCCGCCCCUGCCUGCGCCCGGCCGGCCCGGGUCGAGCGCUGCCGGUGCGGGCGGCGGGACCCGCGGCGCUGCCGCUGCUCCUCCCGCUGCUCCUCCCGCUGCCGCCGCCGCUGCCGAGCCGCUCGGUGCAGCCCGCCCGCCGCCGGCACCGCCGCGCAGGCGCCGCUGCCGCCCGGGUCCUGGCGCGGGCCGCGCCCCCGGCUCCCGCCGCCGCGUCCGCCGCUCCCCGCAGCUGCCGGGACAGGGGUGCCCGCUCCGGGGCUGCGGGGAGAGCGCCCUGCCGCCCCGCUCACCUUCCCGCGGCCGCGCGGUGGUCACAGCAGGGGUCCCCUUCGGGAGCGGUGGGUGUCCCGGUGCUGCCCCUCGCUCGGCUCUCAGCAACCCUCUCGAGCAUCCCUGACGGACAUUUCAAAAACCCCCGGUUCCUGUCUUGUGAGGAGCGUGAAGAACAGCAGGAAGAUGGUUGUGUGGAAGGAAAGUAAGAGAGCUGUUAUUACUUCUUCAGCCUACUCUGAGUUCACAAUAGUAACUGAGAAGUCCUCAGACAAGCAGAUGGGAAAAUGGCCUGGAAGUCUUUAUUGUUAUAAACCUUUUGUAAAACUUUAGAUGCUGAAAGGAAGCAGGAAGAUGCUUUACCCAGAGUUUCCAGGACCUGGGGAAGACUUCUGUAGGAAUCCAGUGCAAAAGGACUAUACCAACCCUCCAGACAGUAGCUGGAAUUCCUGGUAACAUGCAAGAUUUGCAGCAG